rnacentral:rRNA from 1 species
UCGAGGAUCUUCGUCAAUGGGCGCAAGCCUGAACGAGCGACGCCGCGUGUGCGAUGAAGGCCUUCGGGUUGUAAAGCACUGUCGAGGGGGAUCAAGGCCGCAAGGCUUGAGCGAUCCCUGGAGGAAGCACGGGCUAAGUUCGUGCCAGCAGCCGCGGUAAGACGAACCGUGCGAACGUUGUUCGGAAUCACUGGGCUUAAAGGGCGCGUAGGCGGCAAGCGAGGUCGGGGGUGAAAUCCCACAGCUUAACUGUGGAAGAGCCUUCGAUACCGGCAUGCUGGAGGAAGGUAGGGGUGCGCGGAACUUCUGGUGGAGCGGUGAAAUGCGUUGAUAUCAGAAGGAACGCCGGCGGCGAAAGCGGCGCACUGGACCUUUUCUGACGCUGAGGCGCGAAAGCCAGGGGAGCAAACGGGAUUAGAUACCCCCGUAGUCC